AGUGAACGCUGGCGGUAGGCCUAACACAUGCAAGUCGAACGGCAGCACAGUAAGAGCUUGCUCUUACGGGUGGCGAGUGGCGGACGGGUGAGGAAUACAUCGGAAUCUACUUUUUCGUGGGGGAUAACGUAGGGAAACUUACGCUAAUACCGCAUACGACCUACGGGUGAAAGCAGGGGAUCUUCGGACCUUGCGCGAUUGAAUGAGCCGAUGUCGGAUUAGCUAGUUGGCGGGGUAAAGGCCCACCAAGGCGACGAUCCGUAGCUGGUCUGAGAGGAUGAUCAGCAACACUGGAACUGAGACACGGUCCAGACUCCUACGGGAGGCAGCAGUGGGGAAUAUUGGACAAUGGGCGCAAGCCUGAUCCAGCCAUACCGCGUGGGUGAAGAAGGCCUUCGGGUUGUAAAGCCCUUUUGUUGGGAAAGAAAAGCAGCAGGUUAAGACCCCGCUGUUCUGACGGUACCCAAAGAAUAAGCACCGGCUAACUUCGU
rnacentral:rRNA from 1 species